GUUAGGAAUAUUGGACAAUGGGCGAAAGCCUGAUCCAGCCAUGCCGCGUGAACGAUGAAGGCCUUCGGGUUGUAAAGUUCUUUAGCCGAUGAUUAUAAUAACUGUAGUCGGAAAAUAAGCCCCGGCUAACUUCGUGCCAGCAGCCGCGGUAAUACGAAGGGGGCGAGCGUUAUUCGGAAUCACUGGGCGUAAAGCGUGCGUAGGCGGUUUUGUAAGUUAGGAGUGAAAGCCCAGGGCUCAACCUUGGAAUUGCUCUUAAAACUGCAAGGCUCGAAUCUCGGAGAGGAUAGCGGAAUUUCCAGUGUAGCAGUGAAAUGCGUAGAUAUUGGAAGGAACACCAGUGGCGUAAGCGGCUAUCUGGACGAGUAUUGACGCUGAGGCACGAAAGCGUGGGGAUCAAACAGGAUUAGAUACCCUAGAGUCC
rnacentral:rRNA from 1 species